rnacentral:rRNA from 1 species
CGGAAUUACUGGGCGUAAAGCGCACGUAGGCGGCUUUCUAAGUCGGGGGUGAAAUCCUGGAGCUCAACUCCAGAACUGCCUUCGAUACUGGAAAGCUCGAGUCCGGGAGAGGUGAGUGGAACUGCGAGUGUAGAGGUGAAAUUCGUAGAUAUUCGCAAGAACACCAGUGGCGAAGGCGGCUCACUGGCCCGGUACUGACGCUGAGGUGCGAAAGCGUGGGGAGCAAACAGG